GAUGAAGAACGCAGCGAAAUGCGAUAAGUAAUGUGAAUUGCAGAAUUCAGUGAAUCAUCGAAUCUUUGAACGCACAUUGCGCCCGCCAGUAUUCUGGCGGGCAUGCCUGUUCGAGCGUCAUUUCAACCAUCAAGCCCCCGGGCUUGUGUUGGGGACCUGCGGCUGCCGCAGGCCCUGGAAAGCAGUGGCGGGCUCGCUGUCACACCGAGCGUAGUAGAUUUUAUCUCGCUCAGGGCGUGCUGCGGGUUCCGGCCGUUAAACCACCUUCAUAACCCAAGGUUGACCUCGGAUCAGGUAGGAAGACCCGCUGAACUUAAGCAUAUCAAUAAGCGGAGGA
rnacentral:misc_RNA from 1 species